GGGUGAGUAACACGUAUCCAACCUGCCGAUGACUCGGGGAUAGCCUUUCGAAAGAAAGAUUAAUACCCGAUGGCAUAGUUCUUCCGCAUGGUAGAACUAUUAAAGAAUUUCGGUCAUCGAUGGGGAUGCGUUCCAUUAGCUUGUUGGCGGGGUAACGGCCCACCAAGGCAUCGAUGGAUAGGGGUUCUGAGAGGAAGGUCCCCCACAUUGGAACUGAGACACGGUCCAAACUCCUACGGGAGGCAGCAGUGAGGAAUAUUGGUCAAUGGGCGCUAGCCUGAACCAGCCAAGUAGCGUGAAGGAUGACUGCCCUAUGGGUUGUAAACUUCUUUUAUAUGGGAAUAAAGUGCAGUAUGUAUACUGCUCUGCAUGUACCUUAUGAAUAAGGAUCGGCUAACUCCGUGCCAGCAGCCGCGGUAAUACGGGGGAUCCGAGCGUUAUCCGGAUUUAUUGGGUUUAAAGGGAGCGUAGGCGGGUUGUUAAGUCAGUUGUGAAAGUUUGCGGCUCAACCGUAAAAUUGCAGUUGAUACUGGCAUCCUUGAGUACAGUAGAGGUAGGCGGAAUUCGUGGUGUAGCGGUGAAAUGCUUAGAUAUCACGAAGAACUCCGAUUGCGAAGGCAGCCUGCUGGACUGUAACUGACGCUGAUGCUCGAAAGUGUGGGUAUCAAACAGGAUUAGAUACCCUGGUAGUCCACACAGUAAACGAU
rnacentral:rRNA from 1 species